CUUAUCGAAAAUCUUGUCGAAGUAACGUUGCAAUUUUUCUGCGGUCUGGAUCUUGAUCAUCCCAGAAGUUGUUAUAGGAUGAUACUUAUUUCGCAAUCUACUCUGUAGCGCAAAGAUGGCAGUUCCCUCAGUGACCUUUGCGGAUUUGAUCUUUCGGUCAUCCCAAUUCGACAAGGAAAAGGUCCAGGUGUAAUGCAACAGAUGAGAAAAUGACGAACAAAAUAACUCGGAACGUUACAGAAAUCGGACCGGUAAUUAUGUAUAAACAAUUCAAUUAUUUAUGAAUCUAGUUAAUAAAUGAUUUAUAAAAUUGCCAAUUCACUUUAUUUUGAUUCAGAACUCCUUGCAUGCAAUAUUUCUCGAAAAGCCGCAAGCGUUUGAAAUAAGGGGUAAUUGUCCGCUAUGCUUUUAAAAUAAGGGGUAAUUUUCAUCCGAUACAAGCGUUAUCAAGCUGAGUACCCCUUAAAGGGUAAAGGGGCUUUAUCCGAAAAAAGGAGUUCUCCCAGUCUUAUUGAAUAACGGGUCAAAAGUAUUCGU